CUGGUGAAUGAGAGCGAGGGAGGGAGAGAUAGGCAGAAGGAACUUGUUGCCCCUGGUUGGUGUUGUGUAAGACUUGGCUGGCUGUAGCAGAAUAACACUCUUAUUCUCUCAGUGCUUUGAACUCUGGUACCCUACAGCUCCGACCACCCCUCUCUGCAACAGCAAGAACUCACACUAGGUGCCCCUCUCUCGCUCUCUCUCUCUCUCUCUGUCUAUUUCUCUCUCCCCUUUCCUGCUGUGUCGCACUUCUGUUUCUCUUCCCAUAAGUCGUACUUCUCUGCUCCCAUCUCAUUUGUCUUUUACUUUCUCCCACAUCUGCUUGUCUGCUUCAGAUGUGCUGUUGUACCUUUUUGCAUUUGAAGAAAGUUUGUUUUUUCUGUCCUGUUGGACUGAGAACAGGCGUGUACGGCUUCUUCAGCUGAGCUGCAGCGACAUCGCGUGGUUGAUUAUGUAA
rnacentral:lncRNA from 1 species